rnacentral:rRNA from 1 species
AGGCUCGUUGGUGACCAGCGGAGGGAUC